UGCCAUAAGGGUUUAUAGUAUUACAAACCCUUAUGGCAACCAUGUAGCAUGAAGCA
rnacentral:sRNA from 12 species